AUUUGAAGGAUUUGUCUCAUUUCUUUUUUCUUAUCUCAUUAUAAAUAUCAUGUUAUCGGCGUUAUCAAGACCAGAUGGCUUAUUAGCGAUUACGUUCGACUCAGCAUUUUGCAUGAAUUAAAGUUGAAUAGAAUGUGUGUUUUUUUAAAGAUUUUAAUGUCUUUAUUUAAUCUAUCUUUAACACACUUAAAUGUUAACGAUGGCGUGGUGCGAGUCGGCGGCAACGUGCGCCGUGACUAAGCGAUUAGCGCGUCCACGGAUACUGUAGGCCCGGCAGGGGUCCCGUGCUCAGCACGAAUGGAGCUCAAUGCGUAAAACAUGCAUUGUACGCCUGCAUUAUUAGUACUUCAACUUACAAACAAUCACGACGUCACAUAUUUACGCGACACCAGAUUUCUUCAAUCAACGCGACGCGCGACGUUCAUUUAAACGUAGCUCAGGUACAAGACUACUCCUACUGUGGAUGUGCUCAAUGCGCCCACACUCACAACUGUACAAAUACUUGUUAAUAAACUACUUAAAUAGGUUGGCGUUUUAUUUGCCCAACGUGCUGUCAGUAUAAAGUUAUGAUUCGAAGUUUUUUUUUUUUUUAAUUUGAUUGGCGUAUGUUAUAUUACGUUGUCAAGGAAUGUUAUUUAAUAAAAGUAACUCAACUUAA